rnacentral:rRNA from 1 species
GUGGGGAAUAUUGGACAAUGGGCGCAAGCCUGAUCCAGCAAUGCCGCGUGGAUGAAGAAGGUCUUCGGAUUGUAAAGUCCUUUCGGCGGGGACGAUGAUGACGGUACCCGCAGAAGAAGCCCCGGCUAACUUCGUGCCAGCAGCCGCGGUAAUACGAAGGGGGCUAGCGUUACUCGGAAUGACUGGGCGUAAAGGGCGCGUAGGCGGUUCAUUUAGUUAGGCGUGAAAUUCCUGGGCUCAACCUGGGGGCUGCGCUUAAUACAGGUGGACUGGAGUGUGAAAGAGGGUCGUGGAAUUCCCAGUGUAGAGGUGAAAUUCGUAGAUAUUGGGAAGAACACCGGUGGCGAAGGCGGCGACCUGGUUCAUUACUGACGCUGAGGCGCGAAAGCGUGGGGAGCAAACAGGAUUAGAUACCCUUGUAGUCC